UACAGAGGUCCCAAGCGUUGUUCGGAUUCACUGGGCGUAAAGGGUGCGUAGGUGGUGGGGUAAGUCGGAUGUGAAAUCUCCGAGCUCAACUCGGAAAUGGCAUUGGAAACUACCCUGCUUGAAGGUCGGAGGGGGGACUGGAAUGCUUGGUGUAGCAGUGAAAUGCGUAGAUAUCAGGAGGAACACCGGUGGCGAAGGCGGUUCUCUGGGCAUGAUCUGACGCCGAGGAGCGAAAGUGUGGGGAGCGAACAGG
rnacentral:rRNA from 1 species